rnacentral:rRNA from 1 species
GACGAACGCGGGCGGCGUGCUUAACACAUGCAAGUCGAACGAUGAACCCGGAGCUUGCUCCGGUGGAUUAGUGGCGAACGGGUGAGUAACACGUGAGUAACCUGCCCUUGACUCUGGGAUAACUGCGGGAAACUGUAGCUAAUACCGGAUACGACCCUCGGCGGCAUCGCCAGGGGGUGGAAAGAAUUUCGGUCAAGGAUGGACUCGCGGCCUAUCAGCUAGUUGGUGAGGUAACGGCUCACCAAGGCGACGACGGGUAGCCGGCCUGAGAGGUUGACCAGCCACACUGGGACUGAGACACGGCCCAGACUCCUACGGGAGGCAGCAGUGAGGAAUUUUCCACAAUGGGCGAAAGCCUGAUGGAGCAAUACCGCGUGGAGGAUGACGGCCUUCGGGUUGUAAACUCCCUUUAAAUAGGAAGAUUAUGACGGUACUAUUUGAAUAAGCAUCGGCUAACUACGUGCCAGCAGCCGCGGUAA